AGGACGAACGCUGGCGGCGUGCCUAACACAUGCAAGUCGAACGAGAUCCAUGGAAGCUUGCUUCUUGAAGAUCUAGUGGCGAACGGGUGAGUAACACGUGAGCAACCUGCCCUGGAAUCGGGGAUAACUCGAGGAAACUCGAGCUAAUACCGGAUACCUUCCCUUGGCCGCAUGACCGAGGGAAGAAAGAAUUUCGUUCCAGGAGGGGCUCGCGGCCUAUCAGUUAGUUGGCGGGGUAACGGCCCACCAAGACUACGACGGGUAGCUGGUUUGAGAGAACGAUCAGCCACACUGGGACUGAGACACGGCCCAGACUCCUACGGGAGGCAGCAGUGGGGAAUCUUGCGCAAUGGGCGAAAGCCUGACGCAGCAACGCCGCGUGCGGGAUGACGGCCUUCGGUGUAACCGCUUUCAGGAGGACGAAAUGACGGUACCUCCAGAAGAAGCCCCGGCUAACUACGUGCCAGCAGCCGC
rnacentral:rRNA from 1 species